UCUCCGUUGGUGAACCAGCGGAGGGAUCAUUACAGAGUUGCAAAACUCCCAAACCAUUGUGAACGUUACCUAUCCCGUUGCUUCGGCGGGCAGCCCGGGCCCCGCGCCCGGCGCCCCCCGGCCCCCCGUGGGCGCCCGCCGGAGGUAAACCAAACCCUUGAAUUGCAUGGCCUCUCUGAGUCUUCUGUACUGAAUAAGUCAAAACUUUCAACAACGGAUCUCUUGGUUCUG
rnacentral:misc_RNA from 1 species